UAGGGAAUAUUGGACAAUGGGGGCAACCCUGAUCCAGCCAUGCCGCGUGAGUGAAGAAGGCCCUCGGGUUGUAAAGCUCUUUUGUCCGGAAAGAAAAGCGUCGGGUUAAUACCCCGGGGUUCUGACGGUACCGGAAGAAUAAGCACCGGCUAACUUCGUGCCAGCAGCCGCGGUAAUACGAAGGGUGCAAGCGUUACUCGGAAUUACUGGGCGUAAAGCGUGCGUAGGUGGUUGUUUAAGUCUGAUGUGAAAGCCCUGGGCUCAACCUGGGAAUGGCAUUGGNAACUGGGCAGCUAGAGUGCGGUAGAGGGUAGUGGAAUUCCCGGUGUAGCAGUGAAAUGCGUAGAGAUCGGGAGGAACAUCUGUGGCGAAGGCGACUGCCUGGACCAGCACUGACACUGAGGCACGAAAGCGUGGGGAGCAAACA
rnacentral:rRNA from 1 species